AUUGAACGCUGGCGGCAGGCCUAACACAUGCAAGUCGAACGAGUGGCGGACGGGUGAGUAUUGUCUGGAAAACUGCCUGAUGGAGGGGAAUAACUACUGGAAACGGUAGCUAAUACCGCAUACCAUCGGAUGUGCCCAGAUGGGCUGAGCUCGUAGGUGGGGUAAAGGCUCACCUAGGCGACGAUCCCUAGCUGGUCUGAGAAGAGGACCAGCCACAAGGGAACUGAGACACGGGCCAGACUCCUAAGGGAGUCAGCAGGGGGGAAUAUUGCACAAUGGGCGCAAGCCUGAUGCAGCCAUGCCGCGUGUAUGAAGAAGGCCUUCGGGUUGUAAAGUACUAUCAGCGGGGAGGCGUUACCCGCAGAAGAAGCACCGGCUAACUCCGUGCGAGCAGCCGCGGUAAUUC
rnacentral:rRNA from 1 species